AGAGUUUGAUCCUGGCUCAGGACGAACGCUGACGGUGUGCUUUAGACAUGCAAGUCGAACGAGAAAGCCCUUCGGGGUGAGUACAGUGGCGAACGGGUGAGUAACACGUGGGUAACCUGCCCCUCGCAGGGGGACAACCGGGGGAAACCCCGGCUAAUACCCCGUACGCUCCGAGGUCCGCAUGGGCCACGGAGGAAAGGUAGCUUCGGCCAUCCGGCGAGGGAUGGGCCCGCGGUCCAUUAGCUAGUUGGUGGGGUAACGGCCUACCAAGGCGACGAUGGAUAGCUGGUCUGAGAGGAUGAUCAGCCACACUGGGACUGAGACACGGCCCAGACUCCUACGGGAGGCAGCAGUCGGGAAUCUUGCGCAAUGGGCGAAAGCCUGACGCAGCAACACUGUGUGGGCGACGAAGGCCUUCGGGUCGUAAAGCCCUGUUGUUGGGGACGAAGGACGAAGGGUUAAUAGCCCCUAGUCUGACGGUACCCUUCGAGGAAGCCCCGGCUAACUACGUGCCAGCAGCCGCGGUAAUACGUAGGGGGCGAGCGUUGUCCGGAAUUAUUGGGCGUAAAGAGCGUGUAGGCGGUUCGGUAAGUCUGCUGUGAAAUCCUGGGGCUCAACCCCGGGCGUGCAGCGGAUACUGCCGGACUAGAGGGUGGUAGAGGCGAGUGGAAUUCCCGGUGUAGCGGUGAAAUGCGCAGAUAUCGGGAGGAACACCAGUAGCGAAGGCGGCUCGCUGGGCCAUUCCUGACGCUGAGACGCGAAAGCAUGGGGAGCGAACAGGAUUAGAUACCCCAGUAGUCC
rnacentral:rRNA from 1 species